CUCUGUUGAUGAACCAUGACAUUGCAAAGGCGAUUAACAAUAACACAAAAGGGUGACCUAUAGGCUUUAAGCUGGAUGAUGUGAUAAUGGGAAUCUGGACUGCGAAUUUACAAAAGAAUUGUUUAGAAGUAUGAUAUGAAAAAGAACAAGUGUAUAAUGAAACAGAUGGGUAUGUAGUUGCACACUAUCAAGGACC